GGGGGCUAGAAUGCAGAGGUUAUUAUGAGGAGGUUAUGUGCGGAAUGAUAACAACCAUCAGUUUUAAAUGAACGGUUCAGAUUUAAGUAGGAAGUUUUUUUACAAUCGGGUUAAAAUUACCCAUCACAAAAUGAGCAACCUGGAACUUCUCUCUCAUAUCUCCUAUUUUCUUUGAAACAGAGGUCCAAAGUCCUACGUCUGAAACUUCCUCUGGAGACAAACAAGAGCUGCCCCUUUCCAACUUCCAGAAGCCGAAUUUGCUGCUCCAAAAAGAAAAAAAACGAAGACACUCAGCUGUGGAGGACGUUGCUGAAGAAGAAGGAACAAGGGUUGAAACCCACAACUCAAUUCUUUCACUGAAAAUGGUUCAUCAUUACCCAUUACAUCAACUGUAACCUAAGAUCUCUCUUAUUCUGUAACCUCUUCCUCUUCUCCCUAGUCUCUUUCUCUUCCUUCUUCAAACCUCACAGAAAAUCCAUUUCCAUCGUAGAAUCUUGCUUAAUUCAAUUUUCACUUAGUUAUAUCUUCAACCUAAGAGCUAAUUUGAACCUUAAGGUUGAACCCCAAAUUCAUAAUCGAACCCUAGCCAAGGUGCGACUCGCCACCUCCGUCGUCGGCCUCCAAAACGAAGCCAUAAUCGUGACUCUCCACCUUCGUCGUCGACUUCCACCACAAACCUCAUCUUCGAUCUUCACUGUGUCUACAAUCCUCAAGGUUGGUAUCAUGCCAAGGUUGUGUUGGUGCCGUGAAAAGGGUUCUUGGAAAGCUUGAAGAUGGAAGAUUGUCUUGUUUCAAUUGGCGGCGUUCUUUUGGGGAGGAAAUUGCUAACUUUCAGCUUAAAUUCGGGUCUAAGAAGACAUGUCUUGGAAUUUUUCUUAUACAUAUGAAUUGUGUUAAAAUUCUAGACCAAGAGGAGAUGAAAUUUUUUUGUUUUUUGCCACUUUCUUAUGUAUAUCUUAAGAUGUAAUGAGAUAACAUUGUUAGUUCAUCAAUUUAUGAAAGUCAAGUUAGAAGGAAA